CCUACGGGAUGCAGCAGUGGGGCAUAUUGGGCAAUGGGCGCAAGCCUGACCCAGCAACGCCGCGUGAAGGAAGAAGGCUUUCGGGUUGUAAACUUCUUUUCUCAGGGACGAAGCAAGUGCAGGUACCUGAGGAAUAAGCCACGGCUAACGACGUGCCAGCAGCCGAGGGAAUACGUAGGUGGAAAGCGUUAUCCGGAUUUACUGGGUGUAAAGGGCGUGUAGGCGGGAAAGCAAGUCAGAUGUGAAAACCAUGGGCUCAACCCGUGGCCUGCUUUUGAAACUGUUUGGCUUGAGUACUGGAGAGGCAGACGGAAGUUCUAGUGUAGCGGUGAAAUGCGUAGAUAUUAGGAGGAACACCAGUGGCGAAGGCGGUCUGCUGGACAGCAACUGACGCUGAGGCGCGAAAGCGUGGGGAGCAAACAGGAUUAGAUACCCCAGUAGUC
rnacentral:rRNA from 1 species